rnacentral:rRNA from 1 species
UGGGGAAUCUUGCACAAUGGGGGCAACCCUGAUGCAGCGACGCCGCGUGAGCGAUGAAGCCCUUCGGGGCGUAAAGCUCUUUCGACCGGAACGAUAAUGACGGUACCUGGAGAAGAAGCUGCGGCUAACUACGUGCCAGCAGCCGCGGUAAUACGUAGGCAGCGAGCGUUGUUCGGAGUUACUGGGCGUAAAGAGUGCGUAGGCGGCGAGCCAAGUUUGGUGUGAAAUCUCCCGGCUUAACCGGGAGGGUGCGCCGAAAACUGGUUGGCUGGAGUAUGGGAGAGGACAGCGCAAUUCCUGGUGUAGCGGUGAAAUGCGUAGAUAUCAGGAGGAACACCUGCGGUGUAGACAGCUUUCUGGACCAAAACGGACGCUGAGGCACGAAAGCGUGGGUAGCAAACA